AGGCCACUCGAGCUUCACCGUCCCUGCCACGAUCCAGUCAGUCGCCGUCCCGAUUCAGUCCGCCGCUGCCUCGAUUCAGUUAUCCGCCCCACGUUUCAAUCCGCCGCCAACUCCGGCGUCGUCCCUGUACUCCUCCUCUUCGAUUCAGUCCUCUAGCGGUGGCGUGCCCAAGUGGGAGGCGGCUCGAGAAGGCGGCGGACUGCGAGCCCCCGACAGACGGCGUGCUCGGUCAGGCGUGCGUUGGGCGUCGCCGCGUCAGGUCGCACACACGGGUUUUUCUCAGGUGAGAAAAAAUUCUAAUGAAGAUUCAUGGCGGCUUGCGGUCAGGCUGAUGGUGCUCCCCACAGGGGAAGCUGGAACGAUGGCGAGUUAUUUUAUCUGUCGCUAUGCGACUUCGUUGUGCUACGUGUCUCUAGAUGAGAUAGAAAGAUGCAUGGAAAUAGGACUCAUGUGCACCCAAAUAGAGCGGGGAGGCCAACCCACCAUGCCGGAUGUUUUCGAGAUGCUAAAUCAGUAAACUUCAAGAAUAAGGGCUUGUUUGGGAGGGCUUCACUCCACCUAAACUUCACUCCAUCUCUAAACUCCACUCCACCUCUAAAAUGCGAUCAGCUCCAGACUGCAAUUUUCUUUCUUUAGAGAGGAUGAGAAAAAGGAAUGGAUAAAUUAUUCAAUAGAGUUAUUCAGUGCACCAUCUAAUGGGUAAAAAGGAGUAAACAUAUAUAUGUAUUGCCAAUCUGGGCAUACAACAAUUUGGUACCAAAUUUCUAGUUGUGAUAUAUGAACAAGACCUAGCAAAUUCAUGCACACAAAAGAUACAGGAGAGGAUGAGAAAAACAUGUGAGAGGAAACAAAAGAAGAAGGCGUGCUACCUACUAGUUCCAGGUGCAAUAGACGGACAAGAGGAAUCAAAGAAAAGAAUAACUUGCUGGAGAUGCCGACAAGAGGAAUCAGACAAAAAAGUGGGAACGGGGACUGGUGGAGGGGGAUGGCAAAGCGGUAUCGCGGGAGAUCGACCGCGGGCUCGACGGAAAGGGAGCACGCGGGCUCGCCGGAGAUGGACGCGGCCGGCUCUGCUAGCGCUGAAGACGAGCCGCCAGAACUCGUCUCUGUCUGUCGAUGGGAGGAAGAUGAAGCACACUCGGGGCCUGGGGCCGAGAAAAUAACGGUUCGGGUUCCAUAAUGCCAUUGGUGGGUAAAUUACUUCAACUUUAGGUGAAGUGAAACAGGUGAAGCAUCUCUUUCUUGGCUCCAGUUAAAUGAACUAGAGAGUAAUACUGCUCCACUUCACUUGGUAAAUGGAGUUUAGAGUGUUUGGGUCAACUUCAUCUGUUUCAUUGGUGAAGUUAUGAAGUGGAGCUGUACCAAACAGGCUCUGAAAACAGGGCCUGAUCAGGCAAAUUGAUUUUACUACCCGCGUCACUUGUCCUCCUUGAUUGGGAGCACCACUCAGCAAAAUAAAGAUCUCGCUGGGAUAUAUUUGGAAUCUGGAAGGAUGUGUGUGAAAAUAACACUUUUGGAUGAUAAUUUCGUUCUAUGUAGGAGCAGAAUACUUCCUCCCAUGACCUGCUUUUAGGAUGCAGCUGCAGCAAGCUCUGUUUUCCCAUCAGGAAAACGAAUGUAUAUUGAUACCGUCUGGAACAUAUUUUUUAUGUAACACAACACUAACAAAAUUGUGGACAGCUCGAAAGUUUGUUGAUUUUUUAAGACUAGAAGAACUAUUGAUUUUCCUUUU